UACUCCACGCUCAUCAGCUUCCACCAAGAGCACCAUUAUAGCUGGGAUUUCUUCAAACAAGGUGAUUCCUUUUCCCAUUCCUUGCCCAUAUUUGGCUAAAGCAUCGGCACAUUGAUUCGCCUCUCUGAAGAUGUGCCGAAUCACCACCUUCUGUGGUUUUGUUAGCAACUCCUUGAUCGACCUCACUAGGGAAGCUCCAAUGUGAGUCUCAGCCGCGGUACUUCGAAUGAGAUUAAUAGCAUAGCUCGAGUCAGAUUCAACUUCCAGGUUGAAACACAGAACCAUCAACGUUAAGCUUGGCCCAUCCUCUUUCCGGCGGCUUCCACCCAAUCCAUACUGUUCUGGUUACAGGUUGUCAUGAAAGUAAUGGUCCACGGAGUACCAUUUUGGGUUGGAGUAUGUUUACCCAAGUUAUUUUUAAGCCAUUCUGAAUAGGAAAGGCUAAAAAAAUCUUGUUGUAAACUACUAUUGACAAUGUUGUUCCAAACAGUGUGGAUAAAAGGGCAAUCACGCAGUGUAUGGAGCAAAGUCUCUUCUUCUCCUUGGCAGCUUGGGCAGUUACCAUCUUCGGUAAGUCCUCUCCUUCUUCUUUUAUGAUUUGUCAACAAUGUCUCAUGAGUGAGUAGCCAGCAAAAAGAUCUAAGUCUUUGUGGUAAUUUGGCUUUUCAAAUCUGUUUGUAUAGAGACUGCUCCUCUCCAUCUUCAAUAUAAAAAGUUUCAUAGGCUGAUUUUAUAGAAAACACGCCAUUUGGGCAGGACAUCCAACUGAUGGAGUCUUCCCCGAUUUGCAAAUUAUGAGCUUUGAUUGUAUGUAGAAUAUCUAUGACUUCCUCGGGUAGAACACGAUUUAGUGCUUCCCAAUCCCAGUCUCCAUUUUCGUUGAUAUAGUCUACAACCUUUUCAUUGAGUUUGUCCUCUUCCAAAUUAGUUAAUGCAACCUCUUUCAGAUUAAAACCCAGGGAUCCAUUGCUCCUUCCAACAAAGGGCUUUAUUCCCAUCUCCUAGUCUCCAGAUGAGAUUGGUUUUGAACUUCUCCCAAACCUUGUUAAUUCCGAGCUAGGCAUUUGAGUUACUUGAUCUAUGUUGAAUCUUUGGUAAGAUAUCUUCACCGCAGCCGUAUUUGGCUCUCAUGACUUUCACCCAAAGCUUAUCUCUGUUGUGAAUUAGACUCCAGGCGAGUUUCAUGAGAAAGAGUGAGUUUGAAUCCUGAGCCUUCCUCAAACCCAACCCGCCUUUCUCUUUGGGCUUGCAUAUAUUAUCCCAAUUUAGCAAGUGAAUUUUUCUUUCCCCUUCACUACUUCCCCAUAGAAAGUCUCUACAAAUCUUGUCAAUUUUUUGACACACUGCUGCUGGGAUCUUUCUGGUCUGCAUGCAAUAGCUUGGAAUCGUUGCAAGAACCGAUUGUAUGAGUGUACAUCUUCCUGCUAAAGAGAGAGUCUUCCUGUUCCAGCUAGACAGGUUGCUUUGCAUCUUGUCAAUGAUAAAUUGAAAGUGUUGUUUGUUACACCGUUCGUGAAUGAGUGGGACUCCCAAAUACUUUUCCAAGUUGACUGUGAGGUUGAUUCCUAGCUCCUGAUUCAAAUGAUGUCUAGUGUUAUGGUUGACGUUACUAGAGAAAAACACACAAGACUUCCCAAGAUUGACCUUUUGACCCGAGAAACCGCAAAAAAGGGAGAGAGCAUUCUUGAUGAUCCGGACUUGCUUCAUAUCCGCAUUAGCAAAAAGUACUAGGUCGUCUGCAAAAUAGAGAUGAGAAAUUUUAGGUACACCCCUUGAAAGCAUGAUAGGUUCCCAUUUUUUUUCAUGAAUUAAUUUAUUUAUCAAGUGAGAUAAGCGUUCAAUACAAAGAACAAAAAUAUAGGGGGAUAAGGGGUCUCCCUAUCGUAUUCCUCUGGUAGGCCUGAAGGUUUCUGAAGGAGAGCCAUUCCAAAGAAUAUUCAUGGAAGUCGUUGAUAUGCAAUAGCUGAUGACUUUAAUGAUGUUGUCCGGUAUACCGGCGUCCUUAAGAGUGUCCAUUAUGAACGCCCAAUUUAGCCUAUCAUAGGCUUUUUCGAAGUCAAUUUUUAUAGCCAUAAAACCCUUCCCAUGCUUUUUGUUUCUCAUAGUGUGAACCACCUCUUGGGCGACUAAAAUAUUAUCUGCGCUUACCCUACCAGGCACAAAACUAGAUUGGGUGUUAGAGAUAAGUGUGGGCAUAAAUUUUUUCAGUCUUGAAGCAAUAAUUUUAGUUACAAACUUAUAACAGACGUUACAAAGACUAAUCAGCCUAAAAUGCCCAAAAUUUUCCGGUGAAGGAAUCUUAGGAAUUAAGGCAAUUAGAAUGAUAUUUAG